UAGAAGAGCUGACCUGUGGUGGAGACGAGACGUGUUCAGCAAGUAUUCAUUCAGUUACUUCCACUGAGCAGGACUGUGAAGCUGUAGAUGAUAUGGCACAGAAGGAGGAGGGCCAGAGAGAGAUUUCCACAUCUGCAAAGGAUGACUCAGCCUGCGAAGAGAAAACCCAGUCAGCUCUGCUCGAAGCCGCUGACGCGUCCAUUGGUGAAGAACACAGCAACGCAG